rnacentral:rRNA from 1 species
UACGUAGGGGUGCAAGCGUUGUCCGGAAUUAUUGGGCGUAAAGAGCUUGUAGGCGGUUUGUCGCGUCUGCUGUGAAAUUUCGGGGCUCAACCCCGAACUUGCAGUGGGUACGGGCAGACUAGAGUGUGGUAGGGGAGACGUGGAAUUCCUGGUAUAGCGGUGAAAUGCGCAGAUAUCGGGAGGAACACCAAUGGCGAAGGCAGCUCGCUGGGACGGUACUGACGCUGAGGCGCGAAAGCGUGGGAGCGAACAGG